AUACGUAGGGGGCGAGCGUUGUCCGGAAUGACUGGGCGUAAAGGGCGUGUAGGCGGCGGUUUAAGUCUGGAGUGAAAGUCCGGCUUUCAAGGUGGGUAUUGCUCUGGAUACUGGUCGGCUUGAGUGCGGAAGAGGGAAGUGGAAUUCCCAGUGUAGCGGGGAAAUGCGUAGAGAUUGGGAGGAACACCAGUGGCGAAGGCGACUUACUGGGCCGUAACUGACGCUGAGGCGCGAAAGCGUGGGGAGCGAACAGGAUUAGAUACCCUGGUAGUCCACACUGUAAACGAUGAAUACUAGGUGUAGGGGGUAUCGACUCCCUCUGUGCCGCAGUUAACACAAUAAGUAUUCCGCCUGGGGAGUACGGCCGCAAGGUUGAAACUCAAAUGAAUUGACGGGG
rnacentral:rRNA from 1 species